GACGAACGCUGGCGGCGUGCUUAACACAUGCAAGUCGAACGGAAAGGCCCUGCUUUUGUGGGGUGCUCGAGUGGCGAACGGGUGAGUAACACGUGAGUAACCUGCCCUUGACUUUGGGAUAACUUCAGGAAACUGGGGCUAAUACCGGAUAGGAGCUCCUGCUGCAUGGUGGGGGUUGGAAAGUUUCGGCGGUUGGGGAUGGACUCGCGGCUUAUCAGCUUGUUGGUGGGGUAGUGGCUUACCAAGGCUUUGACGGGUAGCCGGCCUGAGAGGGUGACCGGCCACAUUGGGACUGAGAUACGGCACAGACCCCUACGGGAGGCAGCAGUGGGGAAUAUUGCACAAUGGGCGGAAGCCUGAUGCAGCAACGCCGCGUGCGGGAUGACGGCCUUCGGGUUGUAAACCGCUUUCGCCUGUGACGAAGCGUGAGUGACGGUAAUGGGUAAAGAAGCACCGGCUAACUACGUG
rnacentral:rRNA from 1 species